rnacentral:rRNA from 1 species
GCGUUGUCCGGAAUCAUUGGGCGUAAAGCGCGUGUAGGCGGCCAGGUAAGUCCGUUCUGAAAGUCCGGGGCUCAACCCCGGGAGGCGGAUGGAUACUGCUUGGCUCGAGUCCGGAAGAGGCGAGUGGAAUUCCCGGUGUAGCGGUGAAAUGCGCAGAUAUCGGGAGGAACACCAAUGGCGAAGGCAGCUCGCUGGGACGGUACUGACGCUGAGACGCGAAAGCGUG